rnacentral:rRNA from 1 species
GCAGUGGGGAAUAUUGGACAAUGGGGGAAAGCCUGAUCCAGCAAUGCCGCGUGAGUGAUGAAGGCCUUAGGGUUGUAAAGCUCUUUCGCCCGCGACGAUGAUGACGGUAGCGUGAGAAGAAGCCCCGGCUAACUUCGUGCCAGCAGCCGCGGUAAUACGAAGGGGGCUAGCGUUGUUCGGAAUUACUGGGCGUAAAGGGCGCGUAGGCGGUUUAUCAAGUCAGGCGUGAAAGCCCCGGGCUCAACCUGGGAAUUGCGUUUGAUACUGGUAGACUUGAGUUCGGGAGAGGUGAGUGGAAUUCCCAGUGUAGAGGUGAAAUUCGUAGAUAUUGGGAAGAACACCGGUGGCGAAGGCGGCUCACUGGACCGAUACUGACGCUGAGGCGCGAAAGCGUGGGGAGCAAACAGGAUUAGAUACCCUGGUAGUCCACGCCGUAAACGAUGUGCGCUAGACGCUGGGAAACUUAGUUUUCCGGUGUCGCAGCUAACGCAUAAGCGCACCGC